rnacentral:lncRNA from 1 species
ACAGAGUAAAGACUUGGCAAAAUGAGGAUGGCACUAAGGGUGCGUUUGGUUCGCGCUAUUUUUUUAAGAUUUUUAGUAAUAUAAUGGGAAUAAGAAAAUAUGACGGUGUUUGGUUAAAGGCACUAAGUAAUCUAGUUGGUAAUAUUAGAUUCACUUGGGAAUGAGAUUCAUCCUAAUGUACUAAUCUCAUUCCCUUGCGGGAGAGUGGUAUCCUCGUAUUAAGGAAUUGGGUAAUUAUAAUAUGUCUAAUCUCUUUCUUUCUCCUUACCCGCAGACUAGUUAGUAUUAUUAUCUUUUACACUCUAACAUCAUAUCUCUCUCUAAACUUAUCUUUUUCUCUCUAAACUUCAACUCUUUUUCUCUCUCUAAACUAAGCUCUCUCUUUCCCUCUUUUCUUAAAAUUUCAACUCUCACACUCCCUCUAAUCUCGACUCUAUUUCUCUUCCUAUUAUUUAAUUAUGCUCUCUCUCUCUAACCUAUAUUUUCUCUCUAUUUUUUCUAAAAAAAUGUUGAAAUUUUUUGUAGCAUUAUCUAAAAUUUAUUAAAAAAAAUUAAUUAAUUAAUUGUAUAUUUUUUGUAAACUUAAAUAACAUGACUAAAUAAUAUGACCGUGCGAACCAAACACAUGAAUGCCACAUUCUUAGUAAUAGGAUGAAUAGCAAUAAGAUUCUCGGAUAUUUUUUUACUCAUAGUAAUCUUUCAUAAUACGAACCAAACAUGCCCUAAGGGUGCAUUUGGUUCGCACUAUCUUUUUAAGAUUCCUAGUAAUGCAAUGGGAAUAAAAAAAUAUGACGGUGUUUGGCUAAAGGCGCUAAGUAAUCUAGUUGGUAAUAUUAGAUUCACUUGGGAAUGAGAUUCAUCCCAAUGUACUAAUCUCAUUCCCUUGCGGGAGAGUGGGCAUCCUCAUAUUAAUGAAUUGGGUAAUCAUAAUAUGUCUAAUCUUUUUCUUUCUCCCUACCCGCAGGCUAGUUAGUAUUAUUAUCUUUUACACUCUAACAUCAUAUCUCUUUCUAAACUUAUCUUUUUCUCUCUAAACUUCAACUCUUUUUCUCUCUCUAAACUAAGCUCUCUCUUUCCCUCUUUUUCUAAAAUUUCAACUCUCACGCUCCCUCUAAUCUCGACUCUAUUUCUCUUCCUAUUAUUUAAUUAUGCUCUCUCUCUCUAACCUAUAUUUUCUCUCCAUUUUUUCUAAAAAGAUGUUGAAAUUUUGGUAGCAUUAUCUAAAAUUUAUUAAAAAAAAAAUAAAUUAAUUAAUUGUAUAUUUUUUGUAAACUUAAAUAACAUGACUAAAUAAUAUGACCGUGCGAACCAAUCACAUGAAUGCCACAUUCUUAGUAAUAGGAUAAAUAGAAAUAAGAUUCUCGAAUAUCUUUUUAC